AUGAGUACUCAUGGUUGCUUUGCUAUCCCUUUCCCCCCUUCUUUCUUCUUUCUGGUUGUUGCAACCAGAUGGUGGAGCUCAGGAUCCAGACGACACCACCGACGACUACUACAACCCCGAGGGUGCCUACUACUACGUGGAGGCCGCCGACGACCAGGAGUAGUUAGGAGGCUCCCAGGCAGGAGGCCUUGCCUUUUCGAUUGUUGUUGCUUUUGUGCUAGCCUUCUUAAGGCAAACUUGUCUAACUUAUGUCUGUACUCAGAUAUUGUUGCUUCCGCUGACUCUUGUGUAUUCGAGCUUAUGUAUUCGAGCCCUCGAGGCUCCUGGCUUGUAAUAUAA
rnacentral:rRNA from 1 species